UGGGGAAUUUUGGGCAAUGGGCGAAAGCCUGACCCAGCAACGCCGCGUGAAGGAUGAAGUAUUUCGGUAUGUAAACUUCGUAAGAAUAGGAAGAAUAAAUGACGGUACUAUUUGUAAGGUCCGGCUAACUACGUGCCAGCAGCCGCGGUAAUACGUAGGGACCAAGCGUUGUUCGGAUUUACUGGGCGUAAAGGGCGCGUAGGCGGUGUGUCAAGUCAGUUGUGAAAUCUCCGAGCUUAACUCGGAACGGUCAACUGAUACUGUCACACUAGAGUACAGAAGGGGCAAUCGGAAUUCUUGGUGUAGCGGUGAAAUGCGUAGAUAUCAAGAGGAACACCUGAGGCGAAGGCGGGUUGCUGGGCUGAUACUGACGCUGAGGCGCGAAAGCUAGGGUAGCAAACGGGAUUAGAUACCCCGGUAGUCCCUGAGCGGGCUGGCAAGGCGCAU
rnacentral:rRNA from 1 species